rnacentral:lncRNA from 1 species
CCAAUCCUACCUCAAAUCUCCCCCAUUUAAUAAUCUUAUCAUAAACUCCGAGUCAAUUUAAUUCAAUUCUAAGUCAGCAACUGCAGUAUCUAUGCAUGUUUUCUUUUUACCAUCAUGAUUCAUGCAUGAGUCAUUUUACAUGCAAGGUUCAUAUAAAACAUCUAGGUUUUUACCUCUGGUUUUGGUUGUUGUCAACUUUUCUUUAGAUCAACAACUAUGACACUGAUGUUAUCCAAGCUUUUUCGUCCAAGAGCCAACCAAGUAAGCAAUUUAAUUCAAUAAUCUUAUCAUAAAAUCCGAGUCAAUUUAAUUCAAUUCUAAGUCAGCAACUGCAGUAUCUAUGCAUGUUUUCUUUUUACCAUCAUGAUUCAUGCAUGAGUCAUUUUACAUGCAAGGUUCAUAUAAAACAUCUAGGUUUUUACCUCUGGUUUUGGUUGCUGUCAACUUUUCUUUAGAUCAACAACUAUGACACUGAUGUUAUCCAAGCUUUUUCGUCCAAAAGCCAACCGAGUAAGCAGUGCAGCGGCGAGUACACUGCGAGAAGG